rnacentral:rRNA from 1 species
AUUGAACGCUGGCGGCAGGCCUAACACAUGCAAGUCGAACGAGUGGCGGACGGGUGAGUAAUGUCUGGGAAACUGCCUGAUGGAGGGGGAUAACUACUGGAAACGGUAGCUAAUGCCGCAUACCAUCAGAUGUGCCCAGAUGGGAUUAGCUAGUAGGUGGGGUAAUGGAUCACCUAGGCGACGAACCCUAGCUGGUCUGAGAGGAUGAGCAGCCAAACUGGAAAUGAGACACGGUCCAGACUCCGACGGGAGGCAGCAGUGGGGAAUAUUGGACAAUGGGCGCAAGCCUGAUGCAGCCAUGCCGCGUGUGUGAAGAAGGCCUUCGGGUUGUAAAGCACUUUCAGCGGGGAGGCGUUACCCGCAGAAGAAGCACCGGCUAACUCCGUGCCAGCAGCCGCGGUAAUUC